UGGGGAAUAUUGCACAAUGGGGGAAACCCUGAUGCAGCAACGCCGCGUGAAGGAAGACGGUCUUCGGAUUGUAAACUUUUGUUCUUGGUGAAGAAAAAUGACGGUAGCCAAGGAGGAAGCCACGGCUAACUACGUGCCAGCAGCCGCGGUAAUACGUAGGGAGCGAGCGUUGUCCGGAUUUACUGGGUGUAAAGGGCGUGCAGCCGGGUCUGCAAGUCAGAUGUGAAAUCCAUGGGCUCAACCCAUGAACUGCAUUUGAAACUGUAGAUCUUGAGUGUCGGAGGGGCAAUCGGAAUUCCUAGUGUAGCGGUGAAAUGCGUAGAUAUUAGGAGGAACACCAGUGGCGAAGGCGGAUUGCUGGACAGCAACUGACGGUGAGGCGCGAAAGUGUGGGGAGCAAACAGGAUUAGAUACCCUGGUAGUCCACACUGUAAACGAUGAAUACUAGGUGUGCGGGGACUGACCCCCUGCGUGCCGCAGUUAACACAAUAAGUAUUCCACCUGGGGAGUACGAUCGCAAGGUUGAAACUCAAAGGAAUUGACGGGGGCCCGCACAAGCGGUGGAUUAUGUGGUUUAAUUCGAGGCAACGCGAAGAACCUUACCAAGUCUUGACAUCCCGAUGACAAGCUAUGUAAUGUAGCCUCUCUUCGGAGCAUCGGUGACAGGUGGUGCAUGGUUGUCGUCAGCUCGUGUCGUGAGAUGUUGGGUUAAGUCCCGCAACGAGCGCAACCCCUGUUCUUAGUAGCCAGCGGUUCGGCCGGGCACUCUAGGGAGACUGCCAGGGAUAACCUGGAGGAAGGCGGGGAUGACGUCAAAUCAUCAUGCCCCUUAUGACUUGGGCUACACACGUGCUACAAUGGCGUAAACAAAGGGAAGCGGAGCCGUGAGGCCGAGCAAAUCUCAAAAAUAACGUCUCAGUUCGGACUGUAGUCUGCAACCCGACUACACGAAGCUGGAAUCGCUAGUAAUCGCAGAUCAGAAUGCUGCGGUGAAUACGUUCCC
rnacentral:rRNA from 1 species